AGUUGAAUGAAAGAGUCGUCAUGGCUAAUAAGCUGUUCGUUUCCCUCGUUGUUCUUAUGGUCCUAAUGGCCAGCGCCUCAGCUAGCUUUAAGCUCGCAAGCCUUCUGCUCAGUGAUCUGGGCAAGGGCGGUGGGCACAAUGCGGGGCACCAACAGGGCAACAGUGGGCACUAUGCUAACAACCAGGGGCAUCAAUCUAACGGGGGACUACCUCUCAAAUUUUUUAAACAUGGUUAAAAGCUCCAACUUCUCCAGUCAAACAAGUGUGCGAGUUGACCUCUUCAAGACUCAAGUCUAGAUUGUAGUCGUCCCUUCUGUGUUGUGGUUCAUUAAAAUCGCAAACACAC